GAGGGGACAGAGGAGGGGGCGGGCGGAGGUGGCUCGGGCCGCGCCGAGGGGACCACGGGACGCCCUCCUUCCCUUCUCAGGAAACUGUAUUUCUUUAUAGCAGUACAAGAAGAGCCGAAUACACCACCCAUUGAGCAGAUUGGAAGUGCAAGAAAACUAGCAUAUGCCCCCAUCCUGGAAGCAACCUCAGCCAACACAUGUUGGGAAACGACAGAAAAAGACCCCGGCCUUCCUCACUCUUCCGGGCCCCUAAAGUGAUGGAGUGGCUGUGGAGUCUUCAGUUUGCCUGCAUGCCAGGUGCAAGCCAAGGAGUUGUAAGAGCAUCCCCCUCAUAAGCUACCAGUAGGCCAGGACUCCAGUGUGGAGGGAUGGAUCUCUGAAGGUCACAGCUUGGCCCUUCUCUGAAGAACGUCCACCAGCAUGUCAGCCCAGCUGCACUGCAGGAGUGAAGGGUGAGAUGACUGUCAAUAAGGAUAAAGGCCAUCUUCCCCACCCGUCACUCAUCCUGCCAAGCCAUCACUGGGUAACCAGGACUCAUGGGCAGUGUCACCUCUGGGGCCAUGCUGGCAUCUGUAACCUCCAUCCAUCCUUGUGGUCCCAUCCAGCCAUCUCUGCCCCCUUGCCUGGCCCAUUCUGUUGUGAAGUUUUCGUCCACCUUGCUCUUGUGCAGAGUCGGAAUUCACAGGGGUUCCAAUGCCCAAGGGAAGCCCAUUGGAACUGUUUACUCUUAUUACUGGCUAGAGACGUCCACAGGACAAAUCAGCUUCAGAUUAUACCAUCGUUAGAGUAGGUGCAACUGGGGGGCUUGCCCUACUUAACUCUCCAAUGCAAUCCAUGCUGCCAGCUUCAUACAGACUCCAUCCAGUGCAAAUGGCUUCCUUCUGUGUGCAGAGCAAAUGCUCCAGGGAAGAGAUACAGAGGAUUCCCCAUCAUCAUUGUUGCCAAGUGACCCCAAAUAUUCCUAUCCUGUCUGUUGUAAAAAGGAAAAAUCAUGUCUUGGAAGAACAGCAUCGCCCUACAGAUACAGACUAGGCACUUUGCACAUGAAACAAGAGUCCCAGAAAUUUCUAGAAGCAAAUCUCGCAUUCGUGACCGCCAGACCUACGGGAUGUGUAAGGCACAUUCUCAAUCUCAUCACUUGUGAGAGUUGCAUUGCCUAGUCCAGCAGCCGUGAAGGACUCUCUGCUGUUUUUCCUCUGCUUCAUUUGACACAUGAGAGAGAAGAGAUGAAGAUGGAGGCGGGCCCUGCCCCGGGGACAUGUAUAUCUCUCUGAAUGUCCUUGACAGACAGCAGCAGCCCAGCAAUGCCCAGCCCCCAUCCUGUCUGUAUGCACCCUGGUGAGCAUUUUCUACAGUCUCCUAAACGCUCCCAUUAUUCUGUUUUGCAGGUGUGAUGUGUGGCACCUCAGUGUUGUCAUAGCUUCUGCCUCCUCCGUGUGGAGAGAGGGCAUAAAGACAGAGCUGAGAUAUUAUGGCUAUUCCAGAAAAUAAAAUAUUUUUUGAAACCACA
ensembl:lncRNA LINC03112 long intergenic non-protein coding RNA 3112